AGCAGCCGCGGUAAUUCCAGCUCCAAUAGCGUAUAUUAAAGUUGUUGCAGUUAAAAAGCUCGUAGUUGAAUUUCGGGAUUGGCGCAUCGGUCGUGCCUCACGGGGUAUGAACUGGUGCAGUCAAUUUCUCACCUUCUGGAGAACCGCGAUGUCCUUAAUUGGAUGCCGCGGGGAACCAGGACCUUUACUUUGAAAAAAUUGAGUGUUUAAAGCAGGCAUUUUUGCUUGAAUACAUUAGCAUGGAAUAAUAAAAUAGGACGGCAUGGUUCUAUUUUGUUGGUUUCUAGGACCACCGUAAUGAUUAAUAGGGAUAGUUGGGGCAUUAGUAUUCAAUUGUCAGAGGUGAAAUUCUUGGAUUUAUUGAAGACUUAACUACUGCGAAAGCAUUUGCCAAGGAUGUUCUCAUUAAUCAAGAACGAAAGUUAGGGAUCGAAGACGAUCAGAUACCGUCGUAGCCUUAACCAUAAACUAUAGACCGACUAGGAAUCAGACGAUGUUAAUUUUUAUGUACUCGUUGCAC
rnacentral:rRNA from 1 species